UUGAGUUUGAUCAUGGCUCAGAUUGAACGCUGGCGGCAGGCCUAACACAUGCAAGUCGAGCGGUAACAGGGGAAGCUUGCUUCCCGCUGACGAGCGGCGGACGGGUGAGUAAUGUAUGGGGAUCUGCCCGAUAGAGGGGGAUAACCACUGGAAACGGUGGCUAAUACCGCAUAAUCUCUUAGGAGCAAAGCAGGGGAACUUCGGUCCUUGCGCUAUCGGAUGAACCCAUAUGGGAUUAGCUAGUAGGUGGGGUAAUGGCUCACCUAGGCGACGAUCCCUAGCUGGUCUGAGAGGAUGAUCAGCCACACUGGGACUGAGACACGGCCCAGACUCCUACGGGAGGCAGCAGUGGGGAAUAUUGCACAAUGGGCGCAAGCCUGAUGCAGCCACGCCGCGUGUAUGAAGAAGGCCCUAGGGUUGUAAAGUACUUUCAGUCGGGAGGAAGGCGUUGAUGCUAAUAUCAUCAACGAUUGACGUUACCGACAGAAGAAGCACCGGCUAACUCCGUGCCAGCAGCCGCGGUAAUACGGAGGGUGCAAGCGUCAAUCGGAAUUACUGGGCGUAAAGCGCACGCAGGCGGUUGAUUAAGUUAGAUGUGAAAUCC
rnacentral:rRNA from 1 species